GAUGAACGCUGGCGGCGUGCCUAAUACAUGCAAGUCGAGCGAACGGACGAGAAGCUUGCUUCUCUGAUGUUAGCGGCGGACGGGUGAGUAACGCGUGGAUAACCUACCUAUAAGACUGGGAUAACUUCGGGAAACCGGAGCUAAUACCGGAUAAUAUUUUGAACCGCAUGGUUCAAAAGUGAAAGACGGUCUUGCUGUCACUUAUAGAUGGAUCCGCGCUGCAUUAGCUAGUUGGUAAGGUAACGGCUUACCAAGGCAACGAUGCAUAGCCGACCUGAGAGGGUGAUCGGCCACACUGGAACUGAGACGCGGUCCAGACUCCUACGAGAGGCAGCAGUAGGGAAUCUUCCGCAAUGGGCGAAAGCCUGACGGAGCAACGCCGCGUGAGUUAUGAAGGUCUUCGGAGCGUAAAACUCUGUUAUUGGGGAAGAACAGAUGUGUAAGUAACUGUGCACAUCUUGACGGUACCUAAUCAGAAAGCCACGGCUAACUACGUG
rnacentral:rRNA from 1 species